AGUACGAGAGGACCGGGGUGGACGAACCUCUAGUGUACCUGUUGUGACGCCAGUUGCAUCGCAGGGUAGCUACGUUCGGAUGAGAUAAGCGCUGAAAGCAUCUAAGCACGAAACUCACCUCAAGAUGAGAUUUCUUUUAAGGGUCGUGGAAGACGACCACGUUGAUAGGCCAGGUGUGUAAGUGCAGCAAUGUAUUGAGCUUACUGGUACUAAUCGUUCGAUUGGCUUGA
rnacentral:rRNA from 1 species